CGUUACUAGUAGAAACUACACAAAUUAUAAUAAAUAUGUCUAUCAUGGUAUCAAAGCUCACAGCCUAACAGCAAAAAUGGCCACAUUUAAUGCGUUGGUAUCUUCAACUGUCGAACAACAACCUUCUCUUUCUCUUCCUAAUGCAUCACAAUUUUUAUCCAUCAAACUUACCUCCUCAAAUUACCUACUUUGGCAACCUCAACUUAUGCCACUCUUGAAUAGUUGUAAUCUUGCUGAUCAUAUUAAUGGUCAAACCCAACCACUUGCUCGCCAACUGGAGGAUGGCACUAUCAAUCCACAAUACUUGUCUUGGUUUCGCAAAGAUCAACUUAUUCUAAGUUGGUUUUUCUCUUCCAUCUCGGAGACUCUGUUACUGCAAAUCAUUGGUCUUCCCGCAGCAAAAGCUCGUGGGACAAGUUAGCAACCAUUUUUUCUUCCAGUUCUCGCCCCCAAAUUCAUCAGCUACGAAAGCAAUUGAGACAUUUAACCAAAGGCACUGAUUCAAUUGAUAGCUAUAUGAAGAAAGCUAAACAAAUUUUUUAUCAACUUGCAGCAUUGCAACAACCUGUUUCUGAGGAUUCGCUUAUAUGUCAUAUUAUGGAGGGGCUCAGUCCAACCUACCGUCCAUUCACUUGGGACAUUGUGAUGAUUUAUUUUCGCUACUAUUAAGCAAGGAGUGUCAGCUGAAAAUGGAUACCAUGUCCAUUGAUCAUUCUGUUCCACCUACGGCUCAGCUGGUCUACAAAACAUAGCAAAACUUUGGUGCUCGAUCCAGCACCCGUGGGGGACGUGGUCGUGGUAAGCAGUCCCAUAAUUCUUCUAUUUUGUACACUAAUGUCAAUCGCUCUACAGUUUGUCACAAUUGUCACGACUAUGGGCAUCUUGCUCGACACUGUUCUACGCUCAAGUCUACUCAGCAUGUCAAUCAACCAGCCCGUCCCAAGCUUACCUCUAACCUUGCUACAUCCAACAAUAGUACUGUACAACCUUGGACUACGGAUUCAGGGGCAAAUUAUCAUGUUACUAGUGACUCUGGAAAUAUCAACAAACUGGUUCCUUAUCAUGGUCCUAAUCAAGUAGUGAUUAGCAAUGGUAAUUCUUUCCCCAUCACUCAUUCUGGUUCUUCAAAUAUGUCUGUUGGUAAUAUUAAUUUUUCGUUUUGGGAUAUUCUGUAUUCUCCAUCAAUUAGAUGUAAUUUAUUAUCUGUUUAUUCUUUUACUAACCAAAAUGUCAUUUCUCUUGAAUUUUUUCCUGACAUGUUUUUGGUGAAGGAUAUCCAGGAUCCUAUUCAAAGGCCAGAGUAAUGAUGGCUUAUACACCAUGCCUCUUCAAGCUUCACAAUUAGUUUCUCCAACAGUCAAUAAUGCCGAAUUUUGUAUAUGGCAUGCUCGAUUGGGACAUGCUAAUCAUCGUAAUAUUAGUAAUGUUCUUUCUUUCAAUAAGUUGACUGUUAAUUAAGAUAAUUCUUCUAUGCCCCCUUGUAAUUCUUGUAAUGUUAGUAAAAUUCAUAAAUUAUCGUUUUCUGAAUCCCAUUCUAGUGUUCAAAAACCUUUAGAAUUAAUAAGCUCAGAUAUGUGGGAACCAUCACCAGUUGCCUCGGUUGAUGGCUACAGAUAUUCUGUAAUUUUCUUUGAUUACUACAGCAAAUACACUUGGAUCUACUUUAUGAAAAACAAAUCUAAAGUUCUGAAU
rnacentral:misc_RNA from 1 species